UUUNGAUGAACAUGUCAAUUAAUUUUUGUGAAUGAGCGUUUGAUUUAGGGUUCGAUCCCUGGCGGUGUUGUGUUUUUUAACAAAUUAAAUAGAUUUGUAUGUUCAUCAGUUAUAUUGUAUGUUCAAAGAAUUUAUUGAUAUGUUUAUUCAUAUCAUUUCUUACGAAAAUCAACUUCUCAAUAGAACCAUAUAUAUAUAUAGCGCUUUUGAAAUAGCUAGCCAUUUUGAAGAAGGAAAUAGAAUAUUUGGCCACUGAUGAGGAGUAAAAUAUGUGUGGGGCAAACUUGGCAGCAACGAUGAUUCUAGCCCUGGCAAGGGCGGAGUGAAGGAAAGUCUGAACAAUAUCCCUUGUGAAAAGCACGUGAGCCAGAAGCCCCCGGAGCCACUAUGAAGUAAUUCUACCACGUAUGGAGUCAGGGCUGACACAACCAGAGGAGAAACACGGAACGAAGGCCAGACCUGUGUGAGAACAUGGCAAGGAUAACGUGCUUCACCAAACAUGGUUGACAUAUCCAUGAAGAAAAGUCCAGGGCUGGCAGCAGCGUUGGAAAGGGGCUGAAAGCGUGUGAACCACUGACACCUUUAUCAAAGAAUCUUUCUAACUAACAUAGGGGUCGUUAUCAGCUAGGAAUUUACUGAUUUACCCUCAUUGUAAACCUCUAUAUAUACGGGAUAUGCUCAUUAUUGUAUCGGACGCUAUUGUUAAUACUACACUUUUCUCUCUCGUUUGCA
rnacentral:lncRNA from 1 species